GGCCUGGCGGUGACCUACUCUCCCGCGUCUUGAGACGAAGUACCAUUGGCGCAGGGGCGUUUCACGGCCGAGUUCGGGAUGGGAUCGGGUGUAGGCGCCCCGCUAUGGCCACCA
rnacentral:rRNA from 1 species